rnacentral:rRNA from 1 species
AUAUUACUAAGCGGAGGAAAAGAAAUCAACGAAGAUUGCCUCAGUAGCGGCGAGUGAAGCGGCAAUAGCUCAAGUUUAGAAUCUGUGGCUGUAUCAGUCACCGAAUUGUAAUUUGUAGAGGAUGCUUUUGGUGAGGUGCCUUCUGAGUUCCCUGGAACGGGACGCCAGAGAGGGUGAGAGCCCCGUAUAGUCGGCCACCGAUCCUUUGUAAAGCUCCUUCGACGAGUCGAGUAGUUUGGGGAUGCUGCUCAAAAUGGGAGGUAUAUCUCUUCUAAAGCUAAAUAUUGGCCAGAGACCGAUAGCGCACAAGUAGAGUGAUCGAAAGAUGAAAAGCACUUUGAAAAGAGGGUUAAAUAGCACGUGAAAUUGUUGAAAGGGAAGCGCUUGUGACCAGACUUGUGCCGGGCUGAUCAUCCAGUGUUCUCACUGGUGCACUCGACCCGGCUCAGGCCAGCGUCGGUUCUCGUAGGGGGAUAAAAGCUUCGGGAACGUGGCACCUUCGGGUGUGCUAUAGCCCGUUGCUUAAUACCCUUGUGGGGACCGAGGUUCGCGCUCUGCAAGGACGCUGGCAUAAUGGUCAUCAGCGA